CACGUAGGGGGGCGAGCGUUGUCCGGAUUCAUUGGGCGUAAAGGGCGCGCAGGCGGCCCGGAAAGUCGGAUGUGAAAACUCGAGGCUCAACCUCGAGCGUGCACCCGAUACUGCCGGGCUUGAGGCAGGUAGGGGAGAUCGGAAUUCCUGGUGUAGCGGUGAAAUGCGCAGAUAUCAGGAGGAACACCGGUGGCGAAGGCGGAUCUCUGGGCCUUACCUGACGCUCAGGUGCGAAAGCUAGGGGAGCGAACAGG
rnacentral:rRNA from 1 species